CUUGGGGCCUUCUGAGUCUCAAAGGACAAGGACUUUCUUCCAAGAGGUAGCCUAUACAGCCAGGAAAAGAGGGACUUGCAGAAGCCUUUACUCGAGACAGCAACAUUUUCUACCCUUGAACAUAAGAUUCUCCCCUUAAUGUCUCCAUUUAUUCCAAAAAAGUAAAAAAAAAAAAAAAAAAAAAAAAAAAAGACUAAAAUAUUCUUUUGUAUGUCUUACUCACAGAAAGCUUGGUCCACUGUAUACUCCUCCAAAUGCAUCUUUGUCAAUAACUGUCAGGUAUUUAUUCUUGUUUAGGUAACUAGAGGGAGAGAGAGAAAGAGAGAGAGAGAGAGAGAGAGAAUGAAUUAGGUGAUUUUAAGAAAUCACAUCAAAUUAGUACAAAUAUCAGAAUAAAAUGUGACCAUAGUAUUGACUGAUUUCAAGAAUUUAGAAGAUACUUUAUCUUCUUCUGGCUUGAGCACUUAAAACAUUCUAGGUUUCAAUUGUAUAAAGUUUUACACAUUAAUUAUGGCAGAAGUUUUUGAAAAUGAGCAUGUUUAUGAUCUAGUUUGCGUACUUAAAUUUCUUAAAAGUUGUUUUAAUUCCCUAUUUUUCAGGCCAGUGGCAACUGUAUUUUUUAAUUCUCUUUAAUGCCAAUCCUCUGUGAUACCAAAUUUUGUUUGUUAAUAUUAAUUUAUAUUCCAAUUUAACUUUGAAGACUAGGCUUAAAUUAGGAAUGGUAUGAAGAUGGUGAGGGUGGUGAAUGAUGCUGAGGACUGUCAGAGAUUCAGAUGUUUUAUUUGGGUAAAGUUGUCAGAUUUAGCAAAUAAAAAUACAAGAUGCCAGUUAAAUUUGAGUUUCAGAUAAACAAUGAAUAAUUUUUUAGUAAAAAUACUCCCCAUGCAAUUUAAAAAAUAUUUAUAUUAAAAGUCGUCUGUUGUUGAUCUGAAAUUCAAAUUGUGUUGGGUGGCCUGUAUUUGAUCUGACAACCCAAUAGUGUGUGUGUGAGGAGUGUUUAGCCAGAUGAGAUUACAGAGUAAUCUCAUCAACCUUCCAUGGAAGAGGUUUGGUGGGCAUAUUGGCCAUUCCAUUUUAAAAACACACUGGGCAUUAGAGGGUAAAAUGUUUUUGGAGCAAUUUAAGUUACAAAGUGAUUUUGAAAUAAAAUUCCCUCCAAAUGGAUAAAAGCUUCCAAGGAUUUUGAAACUGGCUGUUUCCCCAUAACUUUAUUACACAAUAAAAUUAUCUAAAAAGAAGCAUAGCACAUAUAUAUAUCCUUGUUACAAAUGCUCCCAAUUUACACAUUUAGAAUAACUCACAAUAUAACCUGGUCCACUUAAACAUUAGUGAGUGGCCACCUGUUGAUGCAAAAGAAUAUAGCAGAGACCCUCAGAAGGUCUGCUUAGAUAUGGCUAAUGCUUCCAUUAUUCUACUUACGGGGUUUGCUCUUCAUGGUGGAACAUUUUUAAGGGUAAUGGUUAAUAAUAAUAUUAAGCCUUCAGUCAGAAGGAUUUCUUCUCCAGAGCCCUCACAGAGAAACUUCUCUCCUGGUUAACUGGACCCAGGCAUGAGUCUUCGUUGGAACCGUGGGAGGAAGAAGAGUUUUACCAAUCACCAGUGCUGAAGAAGUAUCUCCUUUCUGGGCAGGAUGAGGGAAUCACUAAAUGACGACCAGAAUGAAAGUUCUAUGUCUACCUAGUGCCAAGUUCACCAUCUCUGUAACUAUUUGUUGGAUGAAUGUGUGAAUGAGUAGAAAAUAAAUCAACAUACUUUUUCAUCAAGACAGUAAAGUGCGCAGUGUUAAACUCUUAGGGUGACACAGACGAUUGCUUUAAAGAAAAAAUCAUGAAGAGUGAAAAAAUAGAAGACUUGGCUUAUGGUGUGGUGGCAUUUGACCAACUGUUCUUGUUGAGGUAGUGAUUUUUGAGGCAUCUGGUUUACAAACACCUCAAGGGUAUAGCCCAAACUUGGCCUCUUCUGGUAGUGGCUGAACACCCAGUAUUCAGGGCAUUGUUAAGUGUGACACAGGGAGAGUCAAUAAAUCUCAAAUGCAUUCAGAGACCUGGCUAAGAUGCUAAAGCAGCCAAUCUGUGCCUUCCCAGUGGCUUCAAUCACAAUCCCCACUUGAUAAUUGUUGGACUCUCCUUUAACCCACUAUGUCCAUGGAAUUCCUUUGGUCAGUGACACCCAGAGUGGGCAAAAUCCACCUUGAAAAAAAAAACAACUGCAGAGAAGAUAUUGAACAGCAUGAUUUUGUAAAAAGACAACUAAGUUCAGUACAAGGGCUGCACUGGCUUGCAUCUCUUUUUGUAUUCUCUGGACAAUGCAGCUUGCAGAUCACAUUCUGUUCCCAGGCUGUUGAAAAUCAAGUAAGUGCCGGUGAACUCAUCUCAGUUUUUCCUCUUCAUCUCUAACUGCUGCAAGUGAAAUUCAGCUUGUUCUUUCUAAUCAUUAGAAAUUAUUGUAAAACUAAAUUAUUGCUUGUCCAAUUCUGCAGUGUUUUCAUCUGAUAUUUAAUAUACUCCUGAGGAUAAGGAGCCUGGUUGAUAAGCAUUGCAGUUUACCAGAAACUCUGCAGAAGACUUCAGACUGGAAAAGCCAGCCAGAGUCCAGAAGGGGAGGAGGAGGAUGCAGAGGAGCCCUGGCCAAGCUGAACGGAGAUGAACUGACACUUCAGGAGACUGUGUUCUCUAAAACCAGCACGGCUGUUGGGGUACUUUACCUCUUAGAGUUAAUUAGAUGCUUAAAAGUGAAACCAUCACUCUGCCUUCAGCAGAUCUGAGGGCUGCCUCAUUUAGCUUUUCAACCUUGCGUCAGCUUGCUGCUCUUGCCUUCCAUCUGAAGUCAAGACAGUGGGGAGGGAAAAUACAUAUACAGAAGCCUUGAUAUCCAGGAAAGUGCUUCCAUCAACCUCAUUUAUCACAUGACAUUUCCUGGGAUUAUCAGUCUAGUUAAACUGAUUCCUUGACCAUGACUUACCUUGAUUGUUCUGAAAUCCACAUUUGUAACCAGCUUGGAUAAAUCAGUCACAAAUCUUGGUAGGCUAUCUGAUUAACCUACUCUAGAAAAUGAUUAUUUUAGAGGGGAGUGAUAAAAACUAUCCCUUGCAAGGAGAAGAUGAACAUAAAGUAGCUUAAAAGAGACUCAAAAGGCUUGUAGUAAGAGACGAAAGGAAAUACUUUUUGAAAGUCAGGGUUUCUAAAUAUCUAUGCUGGAAAGGGCUUAUGAGAAAAGAACUGGUGUUUCCUUUAAAAAUAAGAUAGACAUGGCUACAUCUCUAUGUGUUCAACAGCUUUUCACCACUUGGGGUCUUAUUCCUCUUUGAGAACCUGUUGGAAGAAAUGAAGUUCUUCUGAGAAAAGAGAUGUCAGAUUUCCAUACAUGGAGUUAAGAAGCCCUGCCCUGAUUUAAGAUUGUGAAUAGUUCACAGUUAGGGAAGACCAAUGCAGUCAGGAAAAUGAAGGUGGUGAGGAAUGAGCUGAGGAAAAUAUUCAAUUGACAAACUCAGUAUUAUGGGUACUAUAUGUGUGUUUAUGUACGCCCUUUUCUGUUGGACUCACUCGUGGCACAUAGCGGCCAUUCAGUAAAGACUUGCUGGAGGAAGGAAUGAAAGCCUGAUUGUUGGGUGACUCCUAGAAAGAGGCACCCUCUAUACCAGGUUUAGAAAGACGUGAUCUAUGCCAGAGAGAGGAGUGUGAUGUCGUGGCAGGAGAAUUUGCUAUUGCUGCUGAACUUGGCGCUCUGGGGAGUUUUAGGAUACAUUUCAGCUCCAAGAUGGAAUUUCAGCCUGUGCCUCCACAGUCCCUUUAUGGGGAACUUGGGCUGGGCCCUCAUUAUGUUGUGAGACUCUCAUGGGAACACUUCUGUGGGGAACCAUAUUUUCCUCCCACAGCGUUGCUAAUUCAGAGAAUUAAAGGGACCCCCUGCCUACCUCUCAUGUUAGUUUAAAGAGAAGCUGGAUUGCUCUAUGGAAAUCCUUUUGUAGCAGAAAUCAGGACAGCUGUUUGUAAAUAGUAACCCGUGAGAAAAUACUCAAGCUUUCAAUAGGCAGAGGGAAAAGUCAGCCUUAGAGUAUAUCCUACAAGCUGUUCAAAUACUUACCCCAUGAUAAAUAAUAGCCUCCUUAAUCCUAUAAUAUUCUCUAUCAUUGUCUUUUCCCAGUGUGCCAAGAUGUGGUGUUUUACUUCGAAUCGGCUAAUGCAUGAUGCUAAUUAGCACAUUAAUUGUGUUGACUCUGUUCAUAAUAAUUAGUGUAUUGGUGGGCUCUUAGCAUAUCAAAAUGGUAUUUUUAUUCCUGCCUAAAUGUUUACUGUCAGAUAGUAGCUAGUUACUAGAGUUUGACAAUAGGAAAUGUGAUACAGAGAAUCAGACGUUCUGUGAGAAGCAACAUAUCCCCACGCAGAUUGCGUGGAAAGAGGAUGGAAAAGAGAUUCCAAACAAUGAAUGUGUGGCUUAACUUGUGACCAAGUACAGUUCAACUUCUGUUGAGCAAGGGAUGCUUGUAUUAUUAUUAAUUUCACCUCUGAGUGAUGACAACGUUCUUGGCGCCAUAGGAAGUCAUAGGACAAUGUGCUUUUACACAUCUGCCAUCAUUUUCAUGAAAUCCUAACUAAUUACUUGACUGCUGCUGAGGCAUCAGCACUUGCACUCGAUGUGGAAUUUGUCCAGCUUGGCUGUAAUUGUAUUAUUCAGUUACAUUUUAAAAAAUGAGUGUAAAUGAGGUCGAUCUGCUAAUUUCAGUAAAUUGUCAUGAAGUGGAAUGAUAGGGGAUGAUUCCUCUUUUGGAUGACACAUUGUUUAAAUGAGAACCUAAUGAUACCUGGACAAACUUCUGGAGAAAUUACCAAAUUGCUAACAUGCCAUGUGAAAUCCUUGAACACUAUUAAGAUAAUUACAGGAGAUUGAUGUGUUUGCCUUAGUUUAAAAUCUUAAUUAGCAUUGAGACCAAAAGCAACAUCCCUAUGUUAAAAACACAAUGUGAAUACUAUUUUAUUAUUACCAUGGAACCUUGACCUUUCUUUCCUUCACCUACAGCUCAAUCCUUGUCUUCCUCCAGUCCCAGGACUCCUUAUCACAACCAUCAUUUUGAUUUUACACUGGAUUUACAUGAUACCUUUUACUGAAGUGCUUAAAUCUAGGAAAGAAUAAAUUUCUAUUGACUAGGAAUCAGAAACUUAGGGUAGAAUGAUGGAGCAUUGUUUUAUAACAGGAGCAGUUUCCAGCUUGGAUUCAAAAUACUGAUUAAAAAAUUUUGUUUUCUAUUAUGAUUGUAUCUGUACUUUCUAACGCCAAAUAUUUUAAUCCAGAUACUUUUUAUCUUGAUCCCACGCUUGCCCUUUAACCUUUACCAGAAAUUCAGAGAAACAGAGUACACAUUUCGCCACACAAUGGUCAUCCUCACUGAAUACUUUUAUCCAGAGGUCUACAAACUAUGACCCUCCAGUCAAAUCCUACCUUGCCCUUGUUUUUGUAAAUAAAGUUUUAUUGGAACAUAACCAUGCUCAUUUGUUUAUAUAUUGUCUAUGGCUGCUUUCACACUACAAAGGCAGACUUAAGUAGUGCAACUAAGACCAUAUGUCCCAUAAGGCCCCAAAUAUUUGCUAUCUGGGCUCUUCCCAGAAAAAGUUUGCUGACCCCUGAUCUAGACUUUUAGAAACCAAGACACAGAAGAUUCUUAACAAAGAAAUAGUUUCCACAUUUGUUAAACUCUUCCAAAUAACUUUAAUACUUAACAUAAAAAUGUCAAGAAAGUAUUGUGAAAUAGUACACUGAUUUCUUUCCUAUGUUUCAAGGGAUAGUUAGACAGUAAGUCAUGGCACCAGUGAAUUGAAAAUCCAUUGUCACUGACAGAAUAUCUCUGCCGUCAGCUAAGCCUCCCACAGAAUCCAUGAUAUGGUCUGAGGAGAAAGCUGGUGUGAAGGUACAGAGAGUCUCUAUAUAUACAGCAGAUCCAGCAGAAAGCUGGUGUGAAGGUACAGAGAGUCUCUCUAUAUACAGCAGAUCCUCUAAUAAUAUUGUUUCAUUCACUAUUGUUUAGUUUUUUUUUUUUUUUUCCUGAGAUGGAGUCUCUCUCGGUUGCCCAGGCUGGAGUGCAGUGGUGCGAUCUCGGCUCACUGCAAGCUCCGCCUCCCCGGUUCACACCAUUCUCCUGCCUCAGCCUCCCGAGUAGCUGGGACUACAGUCGCCCGCCACCACGUCCAGCUAAUUUUUUUGUAUUUUUAGUAGAGACGGGUUUCACUGUGUUAGCCAGGAUGGUCUCGAUCUCCUGACUUUGUAAUCCACCUGCCUCAGCCUCCCAAAGUGCUGGGAUUACAGACAUGAGCCACCGCACCCGGCCUGCUUAGUUUUAAUGAGAAUAAAAUCCUUUCCAGGCCAGGGCUACUGUUUAUGUGAAGUGUGCACACACUCCCCAUGUCUGUGUGGGUUUUCUCCAGGUAUUCCAAUUUCCUCCCACACCCCAAAGAUGUGCAUAUCAGGUUCCUUGGUGUGUCUAGAUGGUGCCAGUUCAAGUGAGUGUGGCGGUGUGUGUGAUUGUGUCCCAUGUUGGGGUGACGUCCUGUUCAGGGUUGGCUCCCACCUUGUGCCCUGAGCUGCUGGAAUAGGCUGUGGCCACCUGUGACCUUGAACUGGAAUAAUUGGGCAAAUAAUUCUCUUGUUUUUAUUAACCUACCUUAAAUGUAUGUAUAGCUCAUAUUUGUUUCCAUAUUUAACAUUAGAAGCAUUUUGGUCCUUAUGUAAAAGUUUGGUUGUUUUUGUGACCAGAAAUAUGCUAUAGAAACUCAACUCCUAUUUAUAUCAACUAGCCUAUGGUAAAGUUGGUUUCAUUAUACAUUGUUUGUACUUAAAGUUGUAGUUUUCAAGACCCUAUCUGGGAUGCUAAGUGAGGACUUCGUGUACUUCUUCCAUAGGGUUAAUUUCAGAAGGCCAUCUGAUCAUUUGAAAUCUUUACUAGUUCUUAGAAUCUCCACAGCUAUCUCUUGAAUAAACCUUCUUAAAUUUACCUGCUUCCCAAGCAGAUGGUAUAUCGAAAGAUUCUUCUUAAGUAGUGUAAUAUUGUGAAAUAUGUAUUUGGUCUUAUCUGUUUCCUGGCACACAGCUCCUAAAACUCUUGGAAUUUCCAGAGUGACAAGUGUCUUUUGUAUGCUGAUGAGAUGACUGGUGACUGUCAAUCCCUAGAUAGCUUCAGGAUGAGGGCUGGUCACCAGAAAGAUCAAUAAAUAAUUAGAGGGUUGGACUUUCAGCUCCACCUUCUCACCUUCAGGUAGGAGACAGGGGCUGAAAAGAUUGAGAUGAUCACCAAUGGCCAGUGAUGUAAUAAAUCAUGCCUAUGUGAUGAAACCUCCAUACAAAGCCAGAGAGGAGAGGCUUUGGAUGAGCUUCCAGGUAGCUGGAAGGUGGUCAAGGCACAUGUGGAGCUGAUGGGAGGGUGUGUGCCCAGAGAGGGCAUGGAAGCUCUGCACUCCUUCCUACCUCUCACCCUAUGCAUCUUUUCCACACAGCUGCUCCUUUGUAAUAUCCUUUAAAGUGUUUCGCUGAGUUCUGUGAGCUGCUUUAGCAAAUUAACUGAACUGAGGAGGGGACUGUGGGAACCCAGAAGCAUAGGACACAACCUGGGAGCUGUGACUGGCAUCUGAAGUACCAGGCAGUCUUGUGGGACUGAGCCCUUAACCUGUGGAUCUGAUGCUAUCUCCAGGAUCAAGAUAUUUUAACUUCUGUGUUCAGCGCCUUUAAUAGAUUGAGCUAAGAAGCCUAAGCAAUCUUCAGGGCUAAGAAACAAGCUGCACUUGCCAGAGUUGGAUGUCCACACCUUGGUGAUGGCUGAUAUUAAACAGAAUUCUUAAUGAACAAAUCGGCCUUGAAAAGGGAACAUGGUGAAGCAAGACAAAAGAAUUACAAACUUUGACUGAAACUUUCUCCUACCAGGAAUACAGGUACAAAGUCGGUUGUUGGAACAUAGAAGAAGGCAUAGGAUUUGAAGAGGCAGCAGGAGCCAGAGGUCUCAAAAUCAGCAAAUGGGAGGGACAUUCCAGAUAACAAAGGAGAGAGUUGAUGGUUGUUUCUAGUUUGGGGCUAUUAUGAAGAAAGCUGCUGUGAAGAACAUCCAUGUACAAAUCAUUUUAUGGACACACAUACUCAUUGCUCUUGGGUAAAUAUCUAGGAAUAUGAUUUAUGGAUCAUAGGUAAGUGUAUACUUAACUAUCACAAAAACUUCCAGUUUCCAAAGUGAUUGUAACAUGUUCACUCAUGCCAGUGAUGUAUAGGAGUUCCAGUCAACUCUACAUCCUCACCAACACCUGGUGUUAUCAGUGUUUUAACUUGUAGUCACACAAGUAGGUAUGUUUCCAUCAGCAUUCUUGAUUGGUAUUUGUAAUUUGCUAAAGGAUUUGGAGAAAUGCACAGCUAAGUUAAAAAUGUCUAUUUGUGUACACGAGUAUAGUGCUUAAUUUUAUGUGUUAGCUUGAUUGGGUCAUGGGAUAUGAAGAUAUUUGCUUAAACAUUAUUUCGUGUUGUGUCUGUGAGGAUGUUUCUGGAUGAGAUUGACAUUUGAAUUGGUAAACUCAAUAAAGCAGCUUGCCCUUCCCAAUGUGAAUGGGCCUCAUCCAAUCAAUUGAAGGCUCAGAAAGAAAAAUUCUUUAUCUCUGCUUGUCUUUAAGCUGGGACAUCAAUUUUCUUUGCUUUCAGACUAGGACUAAGUUCUACACCACAGGCUCUCCUGGUUCUCAGGCCACUGGAUUCAAACAAGAAUUUAUACCAUCAGCUCUCUUGGUUCUCAGGACUUUCAACUUUGAUUGAUACUAUACCUUUGGCUCUCCUGGGUCUUCAGUUUUCCAGCUGCUUAUCUUGAGCCUCUUAGCCUCCAUAAUCAGAUACAAAUUUCCCACCAUUCUGGAUUCUGACACCCAACAGAAAGACUGUUAUUUGGCAUCAUGUGAAUUAGCCAGGAGACCACUAAUUUCCAGCCAUUUCCUCUGGUCUGACCCCUAAACUCAGCUCAUCUGGUUUCUCGUUUCUGAGGGGACAAACACUUCCUAAAAGGCAGACCCUCUAGGGUUCUGAGGAGACCGUCCCUGACAUUGUUUUUACUUCAAGACUACAAGCGAAUGAAAAACAGCUCCCUCUCACAAGAGGGCUGGAGCCCUUGAUACAGAACAGAUCUCCAACUGGCUUUUGGACUAAAAUAACUGAACCAACAAGAUAUUUUAGAGAAAAAAAAAGAAAGAAGAAAAGAGAGGAAGGAAGGGAAGGAAAAGAAAAGUGUUUCAAUUCAUUUUAUGAAGAUACUACAAUCUUGACACUAAAACUGGGCCUGGAUAGUACAAGAAAGGAAAAACCCAACUCAAUCAUGUUAGUUCCUAGCUCCAGCUAAUUGAAUGCUGUCAUCUAGGCCUUUGACUCUCAAGAGAGCGACAGUAAGAUAUAAGAACAGUGGAGAAGUUUUUCUGGUAGCUAUGAAAAUGAGAACAUGAUGGAAUUAGUGCUGAGUACCAAGAAGCAGUGAUGUCCGUAAUGGAGUUCUCAGCAGCGACCUGAAGAAUCAGAUUUACCCAACUUCAGUUUAAGAUAGUUGUGGUGAGUUUCUGUUAUGUCCAAAUCUAAAUAUUGACUGAUACAUCUUACAUGUACAUCUUUUGGCCAUAUACCAAAAAUAUAGCAAAUUUCAUAUUUAAUAGGGAAACUCUAGAAGUAUUGUCUUUAAGGUUAAGAAGACAGAAUGUUGCUAUUCAACAUUGUACUGGGGUUUCUAAUGAAUGCAAUAAGACAAAAAAUAGGAAUUAAUUUUGAAAAGGGAGAAAAAAAUGGUUUUUUUAUAUAUUUUCCUGUAGGAAAAAGCAAGAGAGUUAAGCAAUGUUGUUGCAUAUAAAGAUUAGUGUACAACCAUCCAUAGUGCUCAUAUAUACCAGCAAAAAAUCAUUUAGAAAGUGUAAAUUUAAAAAGCUCAUUAAAAAGGAAAAACAAAAACUAUAAUAUAGUUAAAAAUAAAUGAAACUCAUACAAGAUCUCAGUUGAGAAAAUUAUUAGAGCUGAUUGAAAGACAAAAUGAAAAGAAACUAGACAUAUAUAUGGCUGUUCCGAAAUUUAAAUUAUCUAUAGAAUAAAAAAUUACAUAAACAAAGUUAAAUGACUAGUAUCUAACUUCUUAGUCAAUACAUAUUUAAAAAAUUAAAUUAAAAGGCAAGUGAUAAACUGGGAAGAGAUAUUUACUAGUUGCAUACCAAAGCAUUAAUACCCAAGAUAUAUAAAGAACUCUUAUGAAGCAAUAAAAAGAUAAGGCAAUAAAUAAUUUAUAGAAAAAGAAGGUAAAGUGAAACAAGAAAAAGCAUGAAAAAUGCUCAAUCUCAGUAGUCAUCAGGAAAAUGAGAGCAAGAAGAAUACUUAUCAGAUUGGUAAAUAUUUAAAAUGUCUGAGGAUAUGGUGAGGAUAUUUGGAGAUAGAAAUUUUCGUUUACUCGGGAGUGAAUUCUGCUACAAUCACUGCAAAGAGUAAUUUGGAACUAUCUGGUAAAAUUGAAGUUAACUAUGUCUUCCAACCCAACAAGUCCUCAUCUAGGUAUAUUCUCCCCCCACAACUGGCACAGUUGACGUACACAAGAAUACACAAGGAUGUUCAGUCUAGCAACCUUUGCAAGACUCAACUUUGUGGAACAACUUAAAGCUCAUCAUAGGGGAAAUGGAUAAACAAAUUCUGAUUUAUUUACAUGACAAAAUACUAGAUAGCCAAAAAUAUAAACUAGACUACAUGCAUCAACAUUAAUUUCUCUUGAAUUCACAUAUGGAGUCAAGAAAGUAAGCUAUAGAAUGAUACAGAAAAUAUGAUACAGUUUAAAUAAAAUGUUGAAAUACAAAACACAGUCCUAUGGCAUUUGUGGUUGUGGGCAGAUAUGAUAAAACGAAGAGUAAAAUGCAUAUCAACUGCAGCACACUGGUAACUCCCGAGGAAGAAAGAGAAUGAACAUGAAACAAAGAGGAACUCUAGUAUGAUGUUUUAUUUUUAAAAAACACAAUGAUUACUUUUCCUGGAGGUGGGCGCAUAGGGGUAUUUAUUAUAGUACACUGUGUAUCUUUGUGCAUUUUAAAUAUUCCAUAAUAAAGAAACUGCAAUUAAUAUGCAGUGUAGCCAGUAUAUGAAUCAAUGUGGUCUACAAACCAAAUGAUGAUACUGACAAACGUUUCGCCAACUUGGAAACCCUAGAAACUUCAUUUUAAAAGAUCUUCUUAUACAUAGGACAAAUCAUUUGUUUCCUUUUCCACAAAUGAAGAGGACAUAAAAGCAUGAUUACAUUGACAUGAUUUUAAAAAUCUGAGACUACUGAAGCUAUUUUUAGCUGAAGUUAUUAUUAAUACUGAAGCGAUUAUUAGCUGAAGAGUAAAGAAUCACUCUCUCUGAAUUAACACUGUAGGCCUCUCCUUUAAAAAUGUGGGUGUUUUGACAAUGUAAUCAAGUUUAAUGUGGGUUUGAAUUUUAUUUUAAUUAGCCAGUAAGCAAGAAAAUUGUGUGUCUUGUUUGAAGACUGUUUAUGGGUAAAAUACAAUUUCAUAUUGUAUGGGUACAUUGCUAUAUAUCAUGGACAGAUGAGCUUUUAUACUCAUUAAAAAGGAAAUCCUG